rnacentral:rRNA from 1 species
GACGAACGCUGGCGGCGUGCUUAACACAUGCAAGUCGAACGGUGAAGCGCCUUCCUUUUUGGUGGGUGUGGAUGAGUGGCGAACGGGUGAGUAACACGUGAGUAACCUGCCCCCUUCUUCUGGAUAACCGCAUGAAAGUGUGGCUAAUACGGGAUAUUCUGGGUCUGUCGCAUGAUGGGUCUGGGAAAGAUAUUGUUUCGGUGGGGGAUGGGCUCGCGGCCUAUCAGCUUGUUGGUGGGGUGAUGGCCUACCAAGGCGGUGACGGGUAGCCGGCCUGAGAGGGUGGACGGUCACACUGGGACUGCGACACGGCCCAGACUCCUACGGGAGGCAGCAGUGGGGAAUAUUGCACAAUGGGAGCAAGCCUGAUGCAGCGACGCCGCGUGAGGGAUGGAGGCCUUCGGGUUGUGAACCUCUUUCGCCAGUGAAGCAGGCCUGCCUCGUUUGUGGGUGGGUUGACGGUAGCUGGAUAAGAGGCGCCGGCUAACUACGUG